UGGGGAAUCUUGCGCAAUGGGCGAAAGCCUGACGCAGCCAUGCCGCGUGAGUGAUGAAGGUCUUAGGAUUGUAAAGCUCUUUCGCCCGUGACGAUGAUGACGGUAACGGGAGAAGAAGCCCCGGCUAACUUCGUGCCAGCAGCCGCGGUAAUACGAAGGGGGCUAGCGUUGUUCGGAAUUACUGGGCGUAAAGCGCGCGUAGGCGGUUUUGCAAGCCAGAGGUGAAAUGCCUGAGCUUAACUUAGGAAUU
rnacentral:rRNA from 1 species